rnacentral:sRNA from 1 species
GCUCGCGUAAAACGAUUGGCAAAAUGC